UACAGAGGGGGCAAGCGUUGUUCGGAAUUACUGGGCGUAAAGGGCGCGUAGGCGGCCCGCUAAGUCGAACGUGAAAUCCCCAGGCUUAACCUGGGAACUGCGUCCGAUACUGGCAGGCUUGAAUCCGGGAGAGGGAUGUGGAAUUCCAGGUGUAGCGGUGAAAUGCGUAGAUAUCUGGAGGAACACCGGUGGCGAAGGCGGCAUCCUGGACCGGUAUUGACGCUGAGGCGCGAAAGCGUGGGGAGCAAACAGG
rnacentral:rRNA from 1 species